rnacentral:tRNA from 1 species
GGGGCUAUAGCUCAGCUGGGAGAGCGCUGGCAUGGCAUGCAAGAGGUCGACGGUUCGAUCCCGUCUAGCUCCACCA